GACGAACGCUGGCGGCGUGCUUAACACAUGCAAGUCGAACGGAAAGGCCCUGCUUUUGGGGGGUGCUCGAGUGGCGAACGGGUGAGUAACACGUGAGUAACCUGCCCUUGACUUUGGGAUAACUUCAGGAAACUGGGGCUAAUACCGGAUAGGAGCUCCUGCUGCAUGGUGGGGGUUGGAAUGUUUCGGCGGUUGGGUAUGGACUCGCGGGUUAUCAGCUUGUUGGUGGGGUAGUGGCUUACCAAGGGUUUGACGGGUAGCCGGCCUGAGAGGGUGACCGGCCACAUUGGGACUGCGAUACGGACCAGACUCCUACGGGAGGCAGCAGUGGGGAAUAUUGCACAAUAGGCGGAAGCCUGAUGAAGCAACGCCGCGUGCGGGAUGACGGCCUUCGGGUUGUAAACCGCUUUCGCCUGUGGCGAAGCGUGAGUGACGGUAAUGGGUAAAGAAGCACCGGCUAACUACGUG
rnacentral:rRNA from 1 species